GACGAACGCUGGCGGCGUGCCUAAUACAUGCAAGUCGAACGAACUCUGGUAUUGAUUGGUGCUUGCAUCAUGAUUUACAUUUGAGUGAGUGGCGAACUGGUGAGUAACACGUGGGAAACCUGCCCAGAAGCGGGGGAUAACACCUGGAAACAGAUGCUAAUACCGCAUAACAACUUGGACCGCAUGGUCCGAGUUUGAAAGAUGGCUUCGGCUAUCACUUUUGGAUGGUCCCGCGGCGUAUUAGCUAGAUGGUGGGGUAACGGCUCACCAUGGCAAUGAUACGUAGCCGACCUGAGAGGGUAAUCGGCCACAUUGGGACUGAGACACGGCCCAAACUCCUACGGGAGGCAGCAGUAGGGAAUCUUCCACAAUGGACGAAAGUCUGAUGGAGCAACGCCGCGUGAGUGAAGAAGGGUUUCGGCUCGUAAAACUCUGUUGUUAAAGAAGAACAUAUCUGAGAGUAACUGUUCAGGUAUUGACGGUAUUUAACCAGAAAGCCACGGCUAACUACGUGCCAGCAGCCGCGGUAAUACGUAGGUGGCAAGCGUUGUCCGGAUUUAUUGGGCGUAAAGCGAGCGCAGGCGGUUUUUUAAGUCUGAUGUGAAAGCCUUCGGCUCAACCGAAGAAGUGCAUCGGAAACUGGGAAACUUGAGUGCAGAAGAGGACAGUGGAACUCCAUGUGUAGCGGUGAAAUGCGUAGAUAUAUGGAAGAACACCAGUGGCGAAGGCGGCUGUCUGGUCUGUAACUGACGCUGAGGCUCGAAAGUAUGGGUAGCAAACAGGAUUAGAUACCCUGGUAGUCCAUACCGUAAACGAUGAAUGCUAAGUGUUGGAGGGUUUCCGCCCUUCAGUGCUGCAGCUAACGCAUUAAGCAUUCCCCCUGGGGAGUACGGCCGCAAGGCUGAAACUCAAAGGAAUUGACGGGGGCCCCACAAACGGGGGAGCAUGUGGUUUAAUUCGAAGCUACGCGAAGAACCUUACCAGGUCUUGACAUACUAUGCAAAUCUAAGAGAUUAGACGUUCCCUUCGGGGACAUGGAUACAGGUGGUGCAUGGUUGUCGUCAGCUCGUGUCGUGAGAUGUUGGGUUAAGUCCCGCAACGAGCGCAACCCUUAUUAUCAGUUGCCAGCAUUAAGUUGGGCACUCUGGUGAGACUGCCGGUGACAAACCGGAGGAAGGUGGGGAUGACGUCAAAUCAUCAUGCCCCUUAUGACCUGGGCUACACACGUGCUACAAUGGAUGGUACAACGAGUUGCGAACUCGCGAGAGUAAGCUAAUCUCUUAAAGCCAUUCUCAGUUCGGAUUGUAGGCUGCAACUCGCCUACAUGAAGUCGGAAUCGCUAGUAAUCGCGGAUCAGCAUGCCGCGGUGAAUACGUUCCCGGGCCUUGUACACACCGCCCGUCACACCAUGAGAGUUUGUAACACCCAAAGUCGGUGGGGUAACCUUUUAGGAACCAGCCGCCUAAGGUGGGACAGAUGAUUAGGGUG
rnacentral:rRNA from 1 species